ACGUUUUACUUCCCACAAUCAACGCCUACAUCUCCUCCUCCGCAGGCUCACUGCAUUUUCGAUGCUCUCCAAACAUUUCCUCGCUUCCUCUCUACCGCCGCUGCCUCUUAAAAACUUCCCAAUACCCUCUAAACGCUUCAUUCCCUAUCUUUCUUCAAAACCCUUCCCCAAAAUCCUUUCUUUCUCGCUUAGCACUAAUGGGUUUUCUUCGCUUUAUUCUCCUUUCCAGUUCAUUCUCAAGAGUCUGAAGACCCACCCAAGGAUAUGCGCAACUUGGAGAUUUUGAAGCAUAAACUCAACCACCUUGGCAUCGAUACGACUAAGUGUGUGGCUGGGCCUGAAAACCGCUUAAUAUGUCCCUCGGUAUCUUUUUUCCUUCCAACAUUAUUAGAAGAGCCAUGUCUUGGCAGUUGUAAUCCAGAUUAUAGGUCAGAGAUAACAGAUUUCGGAAAGCAUGGGAUUUUUGCCACAUUGCUUAUUCCGGCCUAUGAACAGACGACACAGUUUAUGAUCGUGUUGAAGUUGUUAGCGAUUAAUAGGAAGAAACAACGUACUCUAGACAUUAAAACUAGAGAAAUGUUUUCAAUUUUCAAAACCUUGGAACCUUCCAAUCAUUCUUUCUCCUCACUAUUCUCAGCUUUAUUGGCACUCUUUCUCUAAGUUGAUGUUCUUGUAUGAUAGUACAAUGGUGGUGACUCAGAGGAACUUAGCUUAUCUCUUUUCAUUGCUCAAGAUGGGUAUUCAGCUUCGUGGGUGUGUUUUCGAGCAAAAUGUGG